rnacentral:rRNA from 1 species
AGGAUAGCGACUUCGGGUGGAACCAGCUUCCGUGGUGUGACGGGCGGUGUGUACAAGGCCCGGGAACGUAUUCACGGCGGCAUGCUGAUCCGCCAUUACUAGCGAUUCCGGCUUCACGGGGUCGAGUUGCAGACCCCGAUCCGAACUGAGGAGGGCUUUCUGGGAUUAGCUCCCCCUUGCGGGUUCGCAACCCUCUGUACCCCCCAUUGUAGCACGUGUGUAGCCCCGGGCAUAAGGGCCAUGCGGACUUGACGUCAUCCCCUCCUUCCUCCGGGUUAUCCCCGGCAGUCCCCUUAGAGUGCCCGGCUUUACCCGGUAGCAACUAAGGGCAGGGGUUGCGCUCGUUGCGGGACUUAACCCAACAUCUCACGACACGAGCUGACGACAGCCAUGCAGCACCUGUGCCAGAGCGCGUAGGGAAAACCCCACGCUCCCCCAGUGUUUCCACCGGGGUACAACCCUGGCAUGUCAAGCCCGGGUAAGGUUCUUCGCUCUGCAUCGAAUUAAACCACGUGCUCCACCGCUUGUGCGGGCCCCCGUCAAUUCCUUUGAGUUUCAGCCUUGCGGCCGUACUCCCCAGGCGGGGUGCUUAACGCGUUAGCUUCGGCCCUAGUACCGCGGCAGACGGGUGAGUAACACGUGAGUAACCUGUCCUCGGGUCUGGGAUAACCACCCGAAAGGGUGGCUAAUACCGGAUAAAGUCACCGGGCGCAAGCUCGGUGAUGAAAGGGGGCCUCUGCAUAGCAAGCUCCUGCCUGAGGAGGGGCUCGCGGCCCAUCAGCUAGUUGGUGGGGUAACGGCCCACCAAGGCGAUGACGGGUAGCCGGCCUGAGAGGGUGGUCGGCCACACGGGCACUGAGACACGGGCCCGACUCCUACGGGAGGCAGCAGUGGGGAAUCUUGGGCAAUGGGCGAAAGCCUGACCCAGCGACGCCGCGUGGGGGAAGAAGGCCUUCGGGUCGUAAACCCCUGUUCUGGGGGAAGAACCCUGACUGGGUUAAGAGCCCAGUCAGGCUGACGGUACCCCAGGAGAAAGCCACGGCUAACUGCGUGCCAGCAGCCGCGGUAAUACGCAGGUGGCGAGCGUUGCCCGGAAUUACUGGGCGUAAAGGGUGCGUAGGCGGCCGGACAAGUCGUAGGUUAAAGCCCGGGGCUCAACCCCGGAAGUGCCUACGAUACUGUCUGGCUUGAGGGCUGGAGAGGCUGGCGGAAUUCCCGGUGUAGGGGUGAAAUCCGUAGAUAUCGGGAGGAACACCGGAGGGGAAGCCGGCCAGCUGGACAGUCCCUGACGCUGAGGCACGAAAGCGUGGGGAGCAAACCGGAUUAGAUACCCGGGUAGUCCACGCUGUAAACGAUGGGUGCUAGGUCUGGGGAGGUAAUCUCUCCGGGCCGAAGCUAA